rnacentral:piRNA from 1 species
GCAGCACAAAGUAGUAUGGCAAAUGGCAC